ACACUCCGUCCCGUCACUGGUGCUCGCGGGCUUGUCCCGCAGUUAAACGGGAAGCAGGAAGCCGGCUCCGCCAGGAGCGCGCGCCAACCUGCGCUGCCCCCGCAACGGUAAGCGAAUGCUGCAUCGGCGGUUCAACCGCCGGGUGGCGCACGGGAUCCACAUGUCACUGCGGUCACGCGGGAAGACGGUCACGUAGGCACGAAGGUGCGAUUCGCCAGCCCGGAUACCGGCCAGCGACAGCGGGAUGGA
rnacentral:ncRNA from 2 species